GUCUCUUUGUAGUAUAAGAUGUAAAGAGUCAGACCUGCCCGGUGACUAAGUGUUAAACGGCCGCGGUACCCUAACCGUGCAAAGGUAGCAUAAUCAUUUGCCUUUUAAUUGGAGGCUGGUAUGAAUGGUUUGACGAGAGCUAAACUGUCUCUUUUGGAAUAAGUAGAAUUUAACUUUUAGGUGAAGAGGCCUAAAUUUGUUUGAGGGACAAGAAGACCCUGUUGAGCUUUAGUAAAUUUGUGAGGUUAAAUAAGUUUGUUUGAGUUACUUAAGAUUGUGUAGUUCUAUAAUUGUUUUUCAUAAAAAAUCUUUAGUUGGGGCGACUGAGGAACAAAAAAAGCUUCCUUUAAUAACAAUUAGGAAAUAAUUUGAUAGUUAUUUUGUUAUUUUAGUCGGAAUAGUUUGAUCCAAAAAUUUUGAUCAGGGGAAAAAGUUACCACAGGGAUAACAGCGUAAUCUUUCUGGAGAGAUCUUAUCGAAAGAAGGGUUUGCGACCUCGAUGUUGGACUAAGAUACCCGGAGGGUGUAGAAGUUCUCUAUGGUUGGUCUGUUCGACCAUUAAAAUCUU
rnacentral:rRNA from 1 species